UCGGGAAUUUUGGGCAAUGGGGGAAACCCUGACCCAGCAACGCCGCGUGAAGGAUGAAGUAUUUCGGUAUGUAAACUUCGAAAGAAUAGGAAGAAUAAAUGACGGUACUAUUUAUAAGGUCCGGCUAACUACGUGCCAGCAGCCGCGGUAAUACGUAGGGACCAAGCGUUGUUCGGAUUUACUGGGCGUAAAGCGUGCGCAGGCGGUUGUGUAAGUCAGAUGUGAAAUCCCCGGGCUCAACCUGGGAAUUGCAUUUGAGACUGCACGGCUAGAGUGUGUCAGAGGGGGGUAGAAUUCCACGUGUAGCAGUGAAAUGCGUAGAUAUGUGGAGGAAUACCGAUGGCGAAGGCAGCCCCCUGGGAUAACACUGACGCUCAUGCACGAAAGCGUGGGGAGCAAACAGGAUUAGAUACCCUCGUAGUCCCUGAGCGGGCUGGCAAGGCGCAU
rnacentral:rRNA from 1 species